GGGCUUAUAGCUCAGUAGUAGAGCGCUCGCCUUGCACGCGAGAGGCCGGGGGUGCGAAUCCCCCUAAGUCCA
rnacentral:tRNA from 1 species